rnacentral:tRNA from 1 species
UCCCGUGUGGCUCAGUUGGUAGAGCAUGGUGUUUGCAACGCCAGGGUUGUGGGUUCAAUUCCCAUGGGAG